GAUGAACGCUGGCGGCGUGCCUAAUGCAUGCAAGUCGAGCGACGCAUGCCGGAGGGGUAACCCACUGGCAUGACGGAGCGGCGAACGGGUGAGUAACACGUGAGCAACCUGCCCCACAGACCGGGACAGCCCAGGGAAACUUGGAUUAAUACCGGAUGCCCUCGGACAACCACAUGGCUGACCGAGGAAAUGCCUUUGUGCUGUGGGAUGGGCUCGCGGCUUAUCAGCUAGUUGGUGGGGUAACGGCCUACCAAGGCAUCGACGAGUAGCUGGUCUGAGAGGACGAUCAGCCACACUGGGACUGAGACACGGCCCAGACUCCUACGGGAGGCAGCAGCAGGGAAUCUUGCGCAAUGGGCGAAAGCCUGACGCAGCAACGCCGCGUGGGGGAUGAAGGCCUUCGGGUUGUAAACCCCUUUCAGGAGGGAAGAAAUUGACGGUACCUCCAAAAGAAGCACCGGCCAACUACGUGCCAGCAGC
rnacentral:rRNA from 1 species